rnacentral:tRNA from 1 species
GGAGAGGUGCUGGAGCGGCCGAACAGGCGCGACUGGAAAUCGCGUAGGGGGGCAACCUCCUCAUGGGUUCAAAUCCCAUCCUCUCCGCCA